rnacentral:rRNA from 1 species
GGGAAACCGGAGACUAAUACCGGAUAAUAUAUUGAACCGCAUGGUUCAAUAGUGAAAGACGGUUUUGCUGUCACUUAUAGAUGGAUCCGCGCUGCAUUAGCUAGUUGGUAAGGUAACGGCUUACCAAGGCAACGAUGCGUAGCCGACCUGAGAGGGUGAUCGGCCACACUGGAACUGAGACACGGUCCAGACUCCUACGGGAGGCAGCAGC